rfam:Leifsonia xyli subsp. xyli str. CTCB07, complete genome.
UGGCUCUGCGGCGAUGGAUCUCGCCGGGGCGCUGACCGAACCGUGAUGGCCGCUGAUAGUUCCUGCGCUUCU